CCAGGGUGUACACGUCCCUUUCUGUUACAGAAAAGCUGACCCGCGGUGAGGUGCUGGCGCCGCGCAGCUACUCGCCCGCCCCCGACCCCCCCGUCGUGCGCGCCGAGUCCGUGGCGCUGCGGGGCCCGCGCGUGGACUGCGUCGUGUCCGAGUGGAGCGAGUGGUCCGAGUGCUCGGCCAGCUGCGGGCCGGGCCACCGCGAGCGCACCAGGAGGGUGCAGGUCGAGCCGAUUAGAGGAGGACGCCCGUGCCCUCCCCGACUGCGACAAAGAAGGAAGUGCUACGGUGGACCGUGCGAUCCAUUCCAGGCUGUCGAAGCUGAAGAAAAUCUAUAAGGUUGAAAUUCUUUGUAACUGCUCUGAGAGGAGGACAUAAUAUAUGUUAAU